UCUGAGUCUCUCCAGGCACAUGUAAUAGCAUGAUGACCUUCAUGAUCAGAAGCUGUGGUGAGCAUCCCACUAAAGUCCCUACUGAAGCAGAACUGAAGCUCCUUACCCAUUGAACAACUCUCCAUUCCUUCUUCCCCCCAGCCCCCGACAACCACCAUUCUACUCUCUGUCUCGAAGAAUUUGAUCACUCUGGAUGCCUCUUGUAAGGUUGUGUUCUCUGGCUUCUACACCUGUCAGGUAUAUGCCUGCUCAGGAAUGGGCUGACUCCCUGGAAUCUGAGGCAAAGAGAGAAGGAAGGAGGAGAAGAAGUAAGGAGGAACAACACAGGCUUCUGUCAAAGAAAGGUCAAGAACAACAAGAUUCCGAGCAGAAGCAACAGCAAAAGCAUCUUUCAUCUGUAUGGCACUUCAAGGUUCACAAAGCACCUUCACCUUCAUUACCCUCCAUAACUUACGGGACAUCCUUUCCUGGAAACUGGGACAGAUAUUAUUAUCACCAGUUUACAAGUGAGAAAACUGAGCUCAGACAUAUUUAAGUGACUUGGCCAGACUCACAUAUGCCCAGAAGUCUAAGGGCCAUUGUUAACAUUCCUAUUCACCUAUGACGUCUUCCAUUCAGGUGUUUAGAAAAAAAGCUUAGAAUCUUUGCCUCAAGAAAUUUUGAGGCACACACAAACCUGAUAGACUCUCAGAGUUCUUGAAACUACCACCAUUCAUUUGUUAAAUUAUUUAUGGAAGACUAAAGGAUAUUUGCUACCACCACCAAUAUCUCAGCUUCUCCCAGAGCAUGAAAGACAUGUGAAGUAGAUUAGGAGGAUUCUAGUGCUUUUUUCAUAAACAUGUUGGCAUUUACUAGCAGGGAGUCCACGGAUGUCUUACCAUGAUGCUGGGACAUCUGCCUCACCUUUGGUCAUUAAUUAGCCUUGCAUCAUUGGUAUAUUGCAGCCCUCGUUUCCAACUCUGGACCAUCUAGUCUAAAAAUGGUUGAGUGAUUUAUACCUAGUGUAGUACAGAUUGCACUAGGACUCUUUUUUUUUUCUCUCUUUUCAAGGAAUUAUACCAGCAAAUUCGUAUCUAUAUCAGUAGUUUUAAAACUUUUCAUUUUUACCAGAAGAAUACCUUUAAAAAAAAAAAAAAGAAUCUUAUGUGGAGCCCAACCACAUAACACAGAUAAAAAUGGAACUGGUCUGGUCGAAAGGGGGGAGAUGGGAGACGUGGAGCUGCCAGGAUCCCAGCUACUUGGCAAGCCCCUUACCUCUCACAUGGUAAACUUAAGGCCCUUCUCUUGAACCCUAUAACUCCAAAGAACUGGGAGAAACUACUGGCCUGUAUAAUAAAAUUAAAACAUCAAUUUAUCCUU